CCACGGCCUCCGCCCUGGAGCCCCGCCGCCGCCUCUCCUCCACCCCCUCCUCGCGUCGCCAUGGCCUCCGCCUGCUAUUCCUCCUCCACCACGCUAGCCCCUCUACCUCAUCUUCCUUCUCUUCGUUGUCAAUGCGGCCGCAUCGACCGCUGGUUCCAGAUCGAGCGCGGGUUAGGCGAGCCCGGUGGUGGUGUGAAGGGGCAAGGGAAGAGGAGGUGGGGGACUAGGUGAAGGAGUAGGUCGGCCCUCCUGGAGGCGGUGCCGCCGCCCAGCCAGGGAGGAGGCCAGGCUCGCCUCUGUUUUUCCGUGAGCGGCGACAGCGCCUAUGCCUCCACCGCACCUUCUUUUCCAUGCUUCUUCCUUGGCAUGACAGGCAGAUUUUGGGGAGACCCCUUGAAUAAUAAUUCAAGUGGACGGCCGAUGCGCCUUGUUGUUUAGCGGUAUGAUCUAUGAUGGUCGGCGAAAGUAUGUUCUAUAUUGCAAGACUAUUGCCGCUGAUGUCAAGCCUCUCGAGAUCCGAGAGCCUCCUCCAACUUCCCCUCCCCACCAAGGAUGACGUAGUAACCGCACGUAGAAUUACCUACAACUUGAGUAGAUGCACAUUAUUCACUUCAUAUUCCAAUGGUUUUACUUCCACAUCACAUGUUUGUUUAUAUUAAAUCACAAAAAAUUCAUGAGCUUGCUUGGUUACUGUGGAGAAGGGCAUUCUUUCAAGGAGCUGUAGGUUUUUUGAAUAUGCUCCCUAUUGGACACUUUUUUUUGGUAUGUACAAGAUUUGUUGAGAAUGGGUGUGAGAAAAUUGACCAUCCGGUGGAUUUAUACGCACGGUACUCAGACAUGGUGAAAGCAAAGA